CCCUCGGUAGUAAAAUGGUUAAUACACUGGGCUGUUAACCAAAAGGCUGGAGGUUCAAGCCUACCCAGAGGU
rnacentral:tRNA from 1 species